AGUUUCACCCAAGGCACCUAAACUAAAGCCAAUAGCAGGUUUGUCAAUUCCAUUUUGUUGGAUAAGAGAAACAAAGCCCUGGUUCUUGGUCUUUAAUUGAGCCAAGUUCAUUCAAAGUCAGAGGGAAAAACUGCUUUAGUGGUCCCAGGGCUGUUUCUGUUGUUAAUUCUUCCUCGGAAAGACUAGGAGGAGCAAAAGUUGUCGCUACUGCUGUGGCUCCAAAUGAUGUGGCAAAAAUUCAGGAGUUUCUAAAAAGAUGGAGUGAUGUUGAACAUGUGGAUCUUAUACUUACCCUUGGUGGGACCGGCUUUACCUCACGAGAUGUAACACCAGAAGCUACAAAACAGUUGAUUGAGAAGGAAACACCUGGUCUUCUGUAUGUAAUGACGCAAGAAAGUUUAAAGGU